UACGGAGGGUGCAAGCGUUAAUCGGAAUUACUGGGCGUAAAGCGUGCGCAGGCGGUUUGUUAAGUCCGUUGUGAAAGCCCGGAGCUCAACUCCGGGUCUGCCGCGGAUACUGCGAGGCUUGAGUGCUGUAGAGGGGGGUAGAAUGCCGGGUGUAGCGGUGGAAUGCGUAGAGAUCCGGCAGAAGACCGGUGGCGAAGGCGGCCCCCUGGGCAGUAACUGACACUGAGGCGCGACAGCGUGGGGAGCAAACAGG
rnacentral:rRNA from 1 species